AAUCGUAACAAGGUCUCCGUAGGUGAACCUGCGGAGGGAUCAUUACACAAAUAUGAAGGCGGGCUGGAACCUCUCGGGGUUACAGCCUUGCUGAAUUAUUCACCCUUGUCUUUUGCGUACUUCUUGUUUCCUUGGUGGGUUCGCCCACCACUAGGACAAACAUAAACCUUUUGUAAUUGCAAUCAGCGUCAGUAACAAAUUAAUAAUUACAACUUUCAACAACGGAUCUCUUGGUUCUGGCAUCGAUGAAGAACGCAGCGAAAUGCGAUAAGUAGUGUGAAUUGCAGAAUUCAGUGAAUCAUCGAAUCUUUGAACGCACAUUGCGCCCUUUGGUAUUCCAAAGGGCAUGCCUGUUCGAGCGUCAUUUGUACCCUCAAGCUUUGCUUGGUGUUGGGCGUCUUGUCUCUAGCUUUGCUGGAGACUCGCCUUAAAGUAAUUGGCAGCCGGCCUACUGGUUUCGGAGCGCAGCACAAGUCGCACUCUCUAUCAGCAAAGGUCUAGCAUCCAUUAAGCC
rnacentral:rRNA from 1 species